rnacentral:rRNA from 1 species
AGGGGCGAUAUCGGAGACCCCAAGUGGAGUACCAAUGGCGUAAGACUUUAUCCAUUAAUGAUUGACGUCGAGAAACGAAGGUGAGGAUAGGAAAUAGGAUUAGAUACCCAGUAACCCCUCUCUGUCAACGAUGAAUGGUAUUUGUUAGUCUAAACGACUAGUGACGAAGUUAACACGUUAACCAUUUCGCCUUGUGAGUACGACUGCAAAGUUGAAAACAAAAAAAUUAGUCGGUCUCGGAGCAAACGAAGUGAAGCA